rnacentral:rRNA from 1 species
GAUAAACGCUGGCGGCGUGCAUGAGACAUGCAAGUCGAACGAAGGAUCGGGCUUGCUCGAUCCUUAGUGGCGGACGGCUGAGUAACGCGUAGGUGACCUACCCCGAAGUGGGGAAUAACUGCCCGAAAGGGUGGCUAAUACCGCAUGUGGUCGCACGUUCAUUCGUGCGAGUAAAGCCGCAAGGCGCUUCGGGAGGGGCCUGCGUCCGAUUAGCUCGUUGGUGGGGUAAUGGCUUACCAAGGCGACGAUCGGUAGGUGGUCUGAGAGGACGAUCACCCAGACUGGGACUGAGACACGGCCCAGACUCCUACGGGAGGCAGCAGUCGGGAAUUUUGCUAAAUGGGGGAGACCCUGAAGCAGCAACGCCGCGUGAGGGAUGAAGGCCUUCGGGUUGUAAACCUCUUUUGUCAGGGACGAUGAUGACGGUACCUGGCGAAUAAGCCACGGCUAACUACGUG